AAGGGAAGCGAGAUAGCGAUAUUAAGCGAAGCCCCAAAAUAACGCCUCAGUUCGGAUUGCAGCCUGCAACUCGGCUGCAUGAAGCCGGAAUCGCUAGUAAUCGCGGAUCAGAAUGCCGCGGUGAAUACGUUCCCGGGUCUUGUACACACCGCCCGUCACACCAUGGGAGUCGGGAAUGCCCGAAGUCGGUGAGCUAACGAAAGAGGCAGCCGCCGAAGGCAGGCCCGGUAACUGGGGUGAAGUCGUAACAAGGUAUC
rnacentral:rRNA from 1 species